rnacentral:miRNA from 1 species
AGCAAGGUCCUCCUCACAGUAG